rnacentral:rRNA from 1 species
UGCAUAGGAAUCUACCUAGUAGUAUGGGAUAGCCACUAGAAAUGGUGGGUAAUACUGUAUAAUCCCUGCGGGGGAAAGAUUUAUCGCUAUUAGAUGAGCCUAUGUUAGAUUAGCUAGUUGGUAGGGUAAAGGCCUACCAAGGCAGUGAUCUAUAGCUGGUCUGAGAGGAUGAUCAGCCACACUGGAACUGAGAUACGGUCCAGACUCCUACGGGAGGCAGCAGUGGGGAAUAUUGGACAAUGGGCGCAAGCCUGAUCCAGCUAUGCCGCGUGAGUGAGGAAGGCCUUAGGGUUGUAAAACUCUUUCAGUGGGGAAGAUAAUGACGGUACCCACAGAAGAAGUCCCGGCAAACUCCGUGCCAGCAGCCGCGGUAAUACGGAGGGGGCAAGCGUUGUUCGGAAUUAUUGGGCGUAAAGGGCAUGUAGGCGGUUCGGUAAGUUAAAGGUGAAAUGCCAGGGCUUAACCCUGGAGCUGCUUUUAAUACUGCCAGACUCGAGUCCGGGAGAGGAUAGCGGAAUUCCUAGUGUAGAGGUGAAAUUCGUAGAUAUUAGGAGGAACACCAGUGGCGAAUGGCGGCUAUCUGGUCCGAUACU